GUCCACGCCGUAAACGAUGUCAACUAGCCGUUGGGAGGGUAAAACCUUUUAGUGGCGCAGCUAACGCGAUAAGUUGACCGCCUGGGGAGUACGCGCGCAAGCGUAAAACUCAAAGGAAUUGACGGGGGCCCGCACAAGCGGUGGAGCAUGUGGUUUAAUUCGAUGCAACGCGAAGAACCUUACCUGGCCUUGACAUCCUGUGAACUUUCUAGAGAUAGAUUGGUGCCUUCGGGAAUACAGUGA
rnacentral:rRNA from 1 species